UACGUAGGGGGCAAGCGUUGUCCGGAAUCAUUGGGCGUAAAGCGCGCGUAGGCGGCCCGGUAAGUCCGCUGUAAAAGUCCAGGGCUCAACCCUGGAAAGCCGGUGGAUACUGUCGGGCUAGAGUGCGGAAGAGGCGAGUGGAAUUCCUGGUGUAGCGGUGAAAUGCGCAGAUAUCAGGAGGAACACCUAUUGCGAAGGCAGCUCGCUGGGACGUUACUGACGCUGAGACGCGAAAGCGUGGGGAGCAAACAGG
rnacentral:rRNA from 1 species